AUUGAACGCUGGCGGCAUGCCUUACACAUGCAAGUCGAACGGCAGCACGGGUGCUUGCACCUGGUGGCGAGUGGCGAACGGGUGAGUAAUACAUCGGAACGUACCUUAUCGUGGGGGAUAACGCAGCGAAAGCUGUGCUAAUACCGCAUACGCCCUGAGGGGGAAAGCGGGGGAUCGCAAGACCUCGCGCGAUUAGAGCGGCCGAUGCCUGAUUAGCUAGUUGGUGGGGUAAAAGCCACCAAGGCGACGAUCAGUAGCUGGUCUGAGAGGACGAUCAGCCACACUGGGACUGAGACACGGCCCAGACUCCUACGGGAGGCAGCAGUGGGGAAUUUUGGACAAUGGGGGCAACCCUGAUCCAGCAAUGCCGCGUGAGUGAAGAAGGCCUUCGGGUUGUAAAGCUCUUUUGUCAGGGAAGAAACACCGGCUCUAACACAGUCCGGGGAUGACGGUACCUGAAGAAUAAGCACCGGCUAACUACGUGCCAGCAGCCGCAGUAA
rnacentral:rRNA from 1 species